CCUACGGGAGGCUGCAGUAAGGAAUAUUGGACAAUGGCCGCAAGGCUGCUCCAGCCAUGCCGCGUGCAGGAAGAAGGCCCUAUGGGUCGUAAACUGCUUUUGAACGGGAGAAAACCCUUGCUCGUGAGCGAGGCUGAUAGUACCGUUAGAAUAAGCAUCGGCUAACUUCGUGCCAGCAGCCGCGGUAAGACGAAGGAUGCAAGCGUUAUCCGGUUUCAUGGGGUUUAAAGGGAGCGUAGGCGUCAGUGGAGAAAUCUGUGGGCGUAACCCACAAACUGCCAUUGAUACUGAAGGUCUAGAGUACAGUGGACGUUGGCGGAAUAUGACAUGUAGUGGUGAAAUACUUAGAUAUGUCAUAGAACACCGAUUGCGAAGGCAGCUAACGAAGCUGUAACUGACGCUGAGGCUCGAAAGUGCGGGGAUCAAACAGGAUUAGAUACCCCAGUAGUC
rnacentral:rRNA from 1 species